rnacentral:rRNA from 1 species
UUCCAGACUCCUACGGGAGGCAGCAGUGGGGAAUAUUGCACAAUGGGGGAAACCCUGAUGCAGCGACGCCGCGUGAGUGAAGAAGUCCUUCGUUAUGUAAAGCUCUAUCAGCAGGGAAGAAAAUGACGGUACCUGAGUAAGAAGCCCCGGCUAACUACGUGCCAGCAGCCGCGGUAAUACGUAGGGGGCAAGCGUUAUCCGGAUUUACUGGGUGUAAAGGGAGCGUAGACGGCAGUGCAAGUCUGGAGUGAAAGGCGGGGGCUCAACCCCCGGACUGCUCUGGAAACUGUACGGCUGGAGUGCAGGAGAGGUAAGUGGAAUUCCUAGUGUAGCGGUGAAAUGCGUAGAUAUUAGGAGGAACACCAGUGGCGAAGGCGGCUUACUGGACUGUAACUGACGUUGAGGCUCGAAAGCGUGGGGAGCAAACAGGAUUAGAUACCCUGGUAGG